AUUUGUACUUAAUUUAUUAGCAUGAUUUCUUUUUAAUAUGUUGUGUACAGACUUAAUUACUUCUCUGUCUACUUUUCUUACUCCAUGUAGGUUUCCCAGAGACUAUGGGUUGAGGAGGAAUUGGAAGUUUGUCGGCUUAGACCUGGUGUCAUUCCAUCAGUGUUAAACUUCCCGGCUCAUCUUGGAAGAGUACGUGCCAGAAAGACCACGACCAAGCAGCCUUGAGAUCUUAGGCAGCGUCUCCCUGAGGUUCCUCUCUAUCUCCCCACACAUCCACCAACCACUGGAACACAUCUCCAAAGUUCUGCCGGGCCAGCUCAGCUUCCCCUCAGAAGAAGUGCUGCCACCUGCCAGAUGAAGGAGCCUUUUGAGAGGCAGCUGGCAUCGUGAUUGGACUGUACUUUGGUCUGUUCCAAUCCAGCUUCAGCUCCAGAGACGGCAGGCGGGACGAGUCAACGGAGGCCGAGUGGACGAAGGCAUGCAGCUGAGUACAAUCCAGAAAACAACAGAGGAGGAGUGCAGCAGCCCAGGACCAGAACAAACAGAGUAGCAUCACCAAAGAACUACAGACUCUUCACAACCUGCUCAAACUCUUGGUACAGGACCUCACCACACGGGUCAAGAAGGUUUCCGUCUCAUUUCUACUCUGAAGCUCACCUUCUCCUGCUCAAACUGCUGACAAAUGUUUCUGCUGCUCUAAAGUCUGG
ensembl:lncRNA